rfam:Ailuropoda melanoleuca scaffold639_14, whole genome shotgun sequence.
ACCUGGCUGGCUCAGUCAGGGGAGCACGUGACUCUGGAUCUCGGGGUCGUGAGUUCAAGCCCCAUGUUGGGUG